CCUACGGGGGGCAGCAGUCGAGAAUCAUUCACAAUGGGGGAAACCCUGAUGGUGCGACGCCGCGUGGGGGAAUGAAGGUCUUCGGAUUGUAAACCCCUGUCAUGUGGGAGCAAAUUAAAAAGAUAGUACCACAAGAGGAAGAGACGGCUAACUCUGUGCCAGCAGCCGCGGUAAUACAGAGGUCUCAAGCGUUGUUCGGAAUCACUGGGCGUAAGGCGUGCGUAGGCUGUUUCGUAAGUCGUGUGUGAAAGGCGCGGGCUCAACCCGCGGACGGCACAUGAUACUGCGAGACUAGAGUAAUGGAGGGGGAACCGGAAUUCUCGGUGUAGCAGUGAAAUGCGUAGAGAUCGAGAGGAACACUCGUGGCGAAGGCGGGUUCCUGGACAUUAACUGACGCUGAGGCACGAAGGCCAGGGGAGCGCAAGGGAUUAGAUACCCUAGUAGUC
rnacentral:rRNA from 1 species